rnacentral:rRNA from 1 species
UACGGAGGGUGCAAGCGUUAUCCGGAUUCACUGGGUUUAAAGGGUGCGUAGGUGGGCAGGUAAGUCAGUGGUGAAAUCUUUGGGCUUAACCCGAAAACUGCCAUUGAUACUAUUUGUCUUGAAUAUUGUGGAGGUCAGCGGAAUAUGUCAUGUAGCGGUGAAAUGCUUAGAUAUGACAUAGAACACCAAUUGCGAAGGCAGCUGGCUACGCAUAUAUUGACACUGAUGCACGGAAGCGUGGGGAUCAAACAGG